rnacentral:rRNA from 1 species
CCUACGGGUGGCUGCAGUGAGGAAUAUUGGUCAAUGGACGAGAGUCUGAACCAGCCAAGUAGCGUGAAGGAUGACUGCCCUAUGGGUUGUAAACUUCUUUUAUAUGGGAAUAAAAUGUUCCACGUGUGGGAUUUUGUAUGUACCAUAUGAAUAAGGAUCGGCUAACUCCGUGCCAGCAGCCGCGGUAAUACGGAGGAUCCGGGCGUUAUCCGGAUUUAUUGGGUUUAAAGGGAGCGUAGGUGGAUUGUUAAGUCAGUUGUGAAAGUUUGCGGCUCAACCGUAAAAUUGCAGUUGAAACUGGAAGUCUUGAGUACAGUAGAGGUGGGUGGAAUUCGUGGUGUAGCGGUGAAAUGCUUAGAUAUCACGAAGAACUCCGAUUGCGAAGGCAGCUAACUGGACUGCAACUGACACUGAGGCUCGAAAGUGUGGGGAUCAAACAGGAUUAGAUACCCUUGUAGUC